UGAGGAAUAUUGGUCAAUGGGAGGAGAUCCUGAACCAGCCAAGCCGCGUGAGGGAAGACGGCCCUAUGGGUUGUAAACCUCUUUUGUCGGAGAACAAAACCCGGGACGUGUCCCGGACUGCGUGUAUCCGAAGAAAAAGCAUCGGCUAACUCCGUGCC
rnacentral:rRNA from 1 species